rnacentral:rRNA from 1 species
GACGAACGCUGGCGGCGUGCUUAACACAUGCAAGUCGAACGGAAAGGCCCUGCUUUUGUGGGGUGCUCGAGUGGCGAACGGGUGAGUAACACGUGAGUAACCUGCCCUUGACUUUGGGAUAACUUCAGGAAACUGGGGCUAAUACCGGAUAGGAGCUCCUGCUGCAUGGUGGGGGUUGGAAAGUUUCGGCGGUUGGGGAUGGACUCGCGGCUUAUCAGCUUGUGGGUGGGGUAGUGGCUUACCAAGGCCUUGACGGGUAGCCGGCCUGAGAGGGUGACCGGCCACAUUGGGACUGAGAUACGGCCCAGCCUCCUACGGGAGGCAGCAGUGGGGAAUAUUGCACAAUGGGCGGAAGCCUGAUGCAGCAACGCCGCGUGCGGGAUGACGGCCUUCGGGUUGUAAACCGCUUUCGCCUGUGACGAAGCGUGAGUGACGGUAAUGGGUAAAGAAGCACCGGCUAACUACGUG